CCAGUUCCUGCCUGACUCGCUGUAAUACAAAGGGUGCAAAUUUACUUCCUUGUUUCAAAUAGCAUGUACACCUGUAACUUGGGAGAUAAGCUGAGUGAUCUUCCCGCGGCUGGUAGACAUGACAGCUCUUAUUUGGUCAGUGAGACAAGGGAAACAUGAUAUCAUCUGAGUGAUUUACAAGUUGGCCAACAGUGUCUUUUGUGACACCAAUACUUACUUCAACACACACGAUGCAAACAAAAGAAUGUCAUGCGAAUGCAGUACCUGCAAGGAGGUUAAAGACCUUUACAUAGAAUCACAGAAAAAAGUGCCAAAUUUGUUCGUUGAACACAUUGACAUAGACGAUUUAAAGGGGAAAAGGAAACAUAAAGAUAAAAAGAAAAUAAAACUGAGACUAAUCGAGAUCAAGUUGUCCGCACUGCGAAAUACAGCAGGUGGCAACAUCAUUCUUCAUGUCAACGGGACGGCAUGUGGUGACCGUUAUUUGGGAUGCGUGGAUGAGUUUCUGGAAGAAAGUUUGAACAAUUUCAUAUGUGAUGGAACCUUGUUUGUAGAUACAUACCAAAGGAAAUGGCUGUGUGAAAUAAGUACGUUUGAGAAAUUCACAGAUUGCAUCCUAAUAUCGGUUGAGAAAACCAAAGGUGUUGCUACUGUAGAUUUCAAAACUAAAGUUUGCUCGGAUUUAAAAGUCGAAAGACCAUCAACACUUAACAUCGUGUCUCUCUUGUCUCACGGGAAAAGGUCCUCCGAAAAAGGUGCGGAAUUGAGAGGCUUGCAAUCAACUCCACACGAAAGUCGGAACAUCCAGCUCAAAGCAUAUAGACCCAACGAGCAAGACAAAAGCAACAUUGAGAGUCACCCAGAUACCUUUGCCAAAUAUAUUUGGGAAAAACUUCGCUUCCGAGAAUAUCUCAGUUGCAUGACAAAAAAUGAAGAAGGGGGAUCCUUUUAUCUAGGAAUUACCGAAAAAGAAAUCAAAUAUACAAACACAUCACCGGACAGCUUAUGCACUUACAGUAGUUGUGUUCCAGAUAUUGAAGGAUUUGUAUUGAACUUUAGCGAAGAUGACUUAAAGAAAAGUCUCAUGUGUUUGAUUCAAUCUGAUGUCACGAUACUACACGUAGAUGUGGAUGCAGCUUUUAAAGACAUUUCACCCGAUCUUGUAAAAUUUCAGUUUUAUAGUUUGGAAAAUAGUACUCUUGAAGGCAACAGGUUUGUCCUUGAGAUUGCAGUUGGUUAUACGGGCGGGAUAGUGUUCUAUGACAAAGAAGGUCCCCUGGCGUAUCACGUUAAAGGAGGGACAGUUGAAAGAAUCACCCAAAAAGAUUGGUUGUGCAGAGUAACAAAAACAUUUGAUGAUCUUAAAUGUGAUUCAUCUCCACAUUAAGCAAGAAUCCUAUUAACACGUAUCAGUGCCCCGUUUCCUCUACGUGAAAACAUUAGGUAGCUUAAUGUCUAUGGACGUCGCCUCAUUACUGCAUUAUCUAACCUUACGUACCUGUUUUGAUCAGAAAUAAUAUCAAAAUGACAUCCAGUUCCGAUGCGAAUCGUUCGAGUGUUUCAGAUGGCACUUUAGACAACCUUCAUAUAGGAAUGUCUUGUGCUUAUCAUAAGCAAAAUGACGCCAGCAGUGAUAGCCAUGCUGAAGCAUCUGACAACGCAGAAUCGUCCACCGUAUACGUACGCAUAAGCAGAACAGAUCAAGUCCCAGAUGAAGUACCUGAGGAUGAGCAUCAGCCGCUACCUUCCAGUAAUUACCAGAAGGAAUUGUCAAUAGACAUUAUGAUGAACAUUCAAAAACAACAAGACACAAUACUGAAGGAGAUAAGGGAGAUCAAAGACACACAGAAGGAGAUUCAACGAGAUUUGGUGAGAUUGAAAGGCCGCAGUAGUUAUGGUGACAGCAGUGUAACGGGUCUUAACUACGAAAGACGUGCCCGAUAUUCAAUCCGUCCUCUGAGCACAGUAUGUACACAAACGACAACUGAAAUUCAAGAAGCACCAUUUUCGGGAUCAUCGUCAGAAGAAACAAAUGAAGAUGUUUUCAUUACCAAACUUUAAGAAUGUCAUGAUUGUGUAAUCACUCGCAGCACGAACUGUCAUAUACAGUUAUAGUGUCCUAGCGACACAUGUUAAGUCAGUUUAUCGCCGAUAUGAAGCUGUGCAGUUGACAAUAAGACAAAACGUCAAAUCAUCAAAGGGUACGGCGUUUAAUAUCUAACGAAAAGUGAAUUAAUUCCUGCUUUUGAACGUGUGUGAAUUGCUUACGACAAUAGUCGCUGCGCGCAGAAACUAAGGGAAAUACGGAACGUUCAUCACAAUUUUUUAACGAUUUGCUAAAGACAAAUUUAAGUAUCAUUAAUUAUAUCAUUUGUGAAACUUAAACUGGAUGCGUUAUUUCCCUAUAUGCUUCUUAAGUAUGAAUUUAGUGUCAAUUGUCCACAGCAGUUCACCCCCAUACCUUUUUUUUCUGGACUUUAUAUAAAUUGCUCCAGAAUUUUAUAAUGCCCAACUUGUCUCAUACAUAAUCUAUGCACUGCACAGUUUACCAAGCAAUUUGUUUCUUACACCUUCUGAUCAGUCUCUCAAACAGACCCUGAGACAAUAUCCAAACAAUCCAAAGCAAGUCUGGAUUUUAAAUAGUUUUGCAAGAUAUAUUUAUUCUACUCCAAUGAAAUUAAGGGAUUCUAAAACAAAAUCUUAAAUAUUUCAAUUUCGGAGACUAACGGUUAAUCUAAUACCUUCAGUAUUAUAUAACAUGUAUGCUUUCACAAUUUCUAUAUUUCUCAUUUUAAACAUGAUAUUUCAUACCCACGCGAGUAUAUUUUAA
rnacentral:misc_RNA from 1 species